GCGCUUACUUCUGCGGCACAUAUACUAAAAUUGGAGCAAUACAGAGACGAUUAGCAUGGUCUCUGUGCAAGGAUGAUGUGGAGAUUUGUGAAGUGUUUGAUAUUUAA
ensembl:snRNA U6 U6 spliceosomal RNA